ACAGAGGUGGCGAGCGUUGUUCGGAUUUACUGGGCGUAAAGGGCGCGUAGGCGGCCGUGUUUGUCGGGUGUGAAAUCCCAGGGCUCAACCCUGGAAGUGCGCCCGAAACUGCACGGCUGGAGUGCGGGAGGGGAGAUCGGGAUGCAGGGUGUAGCGGUGAAAUGCGUUGAUAUCCUGCAGAACACCGGUGGCGAGGGCGGAUCUCUGGAACGCACCUGACGCUGGGGCGCGUGAGUCGGGGGAGCAAAUAG
rnacentral:rRNA from 1 species